AGAGUUUGAUCAUGGCUCAGAUUGAACGCUGGCGGCAGGCCUAACACAUGCAAGUCGAACGGUAACAGGAAGCAGCUUGCUGCUUUGCUGACGAGUGGCGGACGGGUGAGUAAUGUCUGGGAAACUGCCUGAUGGAGGGGGAUAACUACUGGAAACGGUGGCUAAUACCGCAUAACGUCGCAAGACCAAAGAGGGGGACCUUCGGGCCUCUUGCCAUCAGAUGUGCCCAGAUGGGAUUAGCUUGUUGGUGAGGUAACGGCUCACCAAGGCGACGAUCCCUAGCUGGUCUGAGAGGAUGACCAGCCACACUGGAACUGAGACACGGUCCAGACUCCUACGGGAGGCAGCAGUGGGGAAUAUUGCACAAUGGGCGCAAGCCUGAUGCAGCCAUGCCGCGUGUAUGAAGAAGGCCUUCGGGUUGUAAAGUACUUUCAGCGGGGAGGAAGGUGUUGUGGUUAAUAACCGCAGCAAUUGACGUUACCCGCAGAAGAAGCACCGGCUAACUCCGUGCCAGCAGCCGCGGUAAUACGGAGGGUGCAAGCGUUAAUCGGAAUUACUGGGCGUAAAGCGCACGCAGGCGGUCUGUCAAGUCGGAUGUGAAAUCCCCGGGCUCAACCUGGGAACUGCAUUCGAAACUGGCAGGCUUGAGUCUUGUAGAGGGGGGUAGAAUUCCAGGUGUAGCGGUGAAAUGCGUAGAGAUCUGGAGGAAUACCGGUGGCGAAGGCGGCCCCCUGGACAAAGACUGACGCUCAGGUGCGAAAGCGUGGGGAGCAAACAGGAUUAGAUACCCUGGUAGUCCACGCCGUAAACGAUGUCUACUUGGAGGUUGUGCCCUUGAGGCGUGGCUUCCGGAGCUAACGCGUUAAGUAGACCGCCUGGGGAGUACGGCCGCAAGGUUAAAACUCAAAUGAAUUGACGGGGGCCCGCACAAGCGGUGGAGCAUGUGGUUUAAUUCGAUGCAACGCGAAGAACCUUACCUGGUCUUGACAUCCACAGAACUUUCCAGAGAUGGAUUGUGCCUUCGGGAACUGUGAGACAGGUGCUGCAUGGCUGUCGUCAGCUCGUGUUGUGAAAUGUUGGGUUAAGUCCCGCAACGAGCGCAACCCUUAUCCUUUGUUGCCAGCGGUCCGGCCGGGAACUCAAAGGAGACUGCCAGUGAUAAACUGGAGGAAGGUGGGGAUGACGUCAAGUCAUCAUGGCCCUUACGACCAGGGCUACACACGUGCUACAAUGGCGCAUACAAAGAGAAGCGACCUCGCGAGAGCAAGCGGACCUCAUAAAGUGCGUCGUAGUCCGGAUUGGAGUCUGCAACUCGACUCCAUGAAGUCGGAAUCGCUAGUAAUCGUGGAUCAGAAUGCCACGGUGAAUACGUUCCCGGGCCUUGUACACACCGCCCGUCACACCAUGGGAGUGGGUUGCAAAAGAAGUAGGUAGCUUAACCUUCGGGAGGGCGCUUACCACUUUGUGAUUCAUGACUGGGGUGAAGUCGUAACAAGGUAACCGUAGGGGAACCUGCGGUUG
rnacentral:rRNA from 1 species